UUCAUUCCUUUCACAUUUAACUGAAUAUCCCAAUAAUCUUCGGAACGAGCAGAUUCAAAAUUAACAUUUACGCACGCAAUAUAACUUUUCAUUUUACCGACAAAUAAGUUGGUAAGUGCAUUUUCAACCUUAGUAUCCCUCAUGCUUCGUUCUAAGUUAUCCUGUAGAACACGGUUGAACUCUUGGACGUCAUGUUGCAUAAACGAAUCUAAAGAAUCCCAACCAAACGAUUUAGUAAGUUCAGUGGUGGAAACGGGCUCAUUCAUAAAUUGAAGGUUAUAGAAACAGCGUUGCAACGCGUAUGCAAUACUGUCCUUGCC